rnacentral:rRNA from 1 species
CGCCAGUCCAGACUCCUACGGGAGGCAGCAGUGGGGAAUUUUCCGCAAUGGGCGAAAGCCUGACGGAGCAACGCCGCGUGAGGGAGGAAGGUCUUUGGAUUGUAAACCUCUUUUCUCAAGGAAGAAGUUCUGACGGUACUUGAGGAAUCAGCCUCGGCUAACUCCGUGCCAGCAGCCGCGGUAAUACGGGGGAGGCAAGCGUUAUCCGGAAUUAUUGGGCGUAAAGCGUCCGCAGGUGGUCAGCCAAGUCUGCCGUCAAAUCAGGUUGCUUAACGACCUAAAGGCGGUGGAAAC